rnacentral:rRNA from 1 species
GAUGAACGCUGGCGGCGUGCCUAAUACAUGCAAGUCGAGCGAACGGACGAGAAGCUUGCUUUUCUGAUGUUAGCGGCGGACGGGUGAGUAACACGUGGAUAACCUACCUAUAAGACUGGGAUAACUUCGGGAAACCGGAGCUAAUACCGGAUAAUAUUUUGAACCGCAUGGUUCAAAAGUGAAAGACGGGCUUGCUGUCACUUAUAGAUGGAUCCGCGCUGCAUUAGCUAGUUGGUAAGGUAACGGCUUACCAAGGCAACGAUGCAUAGCCGACCUGAGAGGGUGAUCGGCCACACUGGAACUGAGACACGGUCCAGACUCCUACGGGAGGCAGCAGUAGGGAAUCUUCCGCAAUGGGCGAAAGCCUGACGGAGCAACGCCGCGUGAGUGAUGAAGGUCUUCGGAUCGUAAAACUCUGUUAUUAGGGAAGAACAUAUGUGUAAGUAACUGUGCACAUCUUGACGGUACCUAAUCAGAAAGCCACGGCUAACUACGUG